AUACUUUCUCGCUUUUGGCUAAGAUCAAGUGUAGUAUCUGUUCUUAUCAGUUUAAUAUCUGAUACGUGGGCCAUAGGUCCACACGAUAUUAAAUUUAUUUUUCUUGGGGGAAAAUCCAUCACAGCAGCUUGCUGCUGGGCUUUUCAGGCGUCGCCCGUUGCGUUGCACUACUGCACUGGCCUGGCGAACCCCUC
rnacentral:snRNA from 1 species